rnacentral:pre_miRNA from 9 species
UCUCGAUAGCGUAAAAGUUAACUUAACUUCGUAUGGAGUUGGAUCGUUUGCCUACGUUUGCCGCUAGGGGCGCUGUUCCAACUGCAUACAAAUUUGAGUUAACUUUUACGCUAUCGA